rnacentral:lncRNA from 1 species
GGACAGACCAAAGGACCUUAUAGAAGAAGAGACAAAGAAGGCAAAAUAUUGGAUAAUGCUCCUAGUAUGAGUAAAUAUGCCUUUCAUACGCUAUUUAAUGGGUUUUUAUAGUGGUAAUGUAACAAUAGUUAUUGCCCAACCAAAAGGCUAGUCAAGGUCUACAGUGGGAGGGGGCAGAGAAGAAACAAGGAUUUCUGUAACUGACUGAACCAAUCAAGUGUAAUACCCACUGCGUUCGGACCAGCCAGGAAAUAGGUGUCAUCUUAUGCUAUUUAUACCGUUCUGCAGCGUUUCACGUUUUGGAUAAUGACACUGUCCACCAAAGGAUCAUUAAUUUGAUUCUGCAGCACAAAGACGUGUCCCUGCAAUGCUUCAUCCCAGCGAUGGAGUUUGUUUUUCUUCUGGAUCCUGCUGGAAAGCUACUGGGGUAAAGGUCAGUGGUGAAACGUCACAACUCUGCAACUUGAGUAGGAUAACAACAUUUUCUCAGAGGUCCUCACUUGAAGGGUCGUUCAAGUGAAAUGAUCCGCUGGGAACAGUCCUUGCUAUCUGGGAUUCUUGGGACAUCCCUACACCAUUGAAGUAGAAAUUGAAAAUGGUUAAGUACGGGUUAUGAUUAAGGUUAGGUUUAGGGUUGGAGUUGGGACAUCCCAGUGAACUACGAGCUUCCGAUAACACGUGAACGUGGAAUUUAGACCUGGAACAAAGUUAGUAUAUUCUUUAUAGUUUACUCUUUUAUUUAAUAUGGUUAUAAACUUCUAUGUACGUUGCUACUCUAUUGCUGUUUUGCUGCAGGAUACAUAGUUUAAUAAUUCCACUCAAGAUGUAGCUAGCUUCAUGCCCUGCCUUUGUACACACAGUACGUUGUUUUCAUUUGACAAUAACUUUUCUCCAGAUAUAGGCUAUAAAAAAUAUAUAUUCUCCUUGUAGAUAUCUUGUGUGAUUUCUAGUGAAAAAUUGGUUAAACAAGUCAAUGUAUAUGGCAAUAGAGGAGGGAGAUUGAAGGAUAAGGACACUUUAGACAAGCUUAAACAACACCUACCUAUCUGUCUAGUGCGUUAUGUUAAGGGAUAAUCAAUGAGGGGCUAUUCGUUCUAUGGAAAAUAAUGAACAACGUGGAAGAUGUGCCCCACGACUUGCUAGCGGAGUGGAACUGACCUUCCACGGAGUUGCAUUAUUUUCCAAAUAAUGCAAGGGCCCCGAGAAAUAGACUUGCUAGUUUAGCUAACAAACCCAUUAAAAAAUAAAAUUCAACAAUGCCAAUGAUGUUUUCAACUGCCAAUCUAUACCUUUGCUAUUAGAAUAAUUUUUAUACAUGUAUAUAUUUUUAUUUUAUUUAUAU